GAACCUGCGGAAGGAUCAUUAG
rnacentral:rRNA from 1 species